GGGAGAGUUGCAACCGUGAAGACUUCCCGGACGAUGAAUUCCGGCGAUGUUUUCGGAUGAGUAAACAAACUUUCAACAUGAUCUGCAAUGAGCUGGAUUCAUCGGUAACGAAGAAAAACACGACGCUUCGAGAUGCUAUUCCGGUUCGCCAGCGCGUGGCGGUAUGUAUAUACCGUCUGGCGACUGGCGAACCGCUGAGGCUGGUUUCGAAGAAAUUCGGGUUAGGAAUAUCCACGUGUCAUAAGCUUGUGUUAGAAGUUUGUGCAGCUAUUAAAUCAGUUUUAAUGCAGAAGUUUCUUCGUUGGCCAGAUGAAGAAACAACGAAGGAAAC
rnacentral:lncRNA from 1 species